UACAGCCUCGCUGAGCUGAUUAUGGGUGUUCGAGUCUCCAGAGGAACAAUGAUGUCUGUCCUGCAGAUCCACCGCUCCGAGAAGGACAUCUUGCAGAGCAGAGCAGCGGAGAUACAGAGGGAGAUCCAGCAGGGUGAGAGAAAGAUCUUCAGUGAGGUGCUGGAUCUGUCUUCAGGAGAUCUCCACGGCGGUGGAAUAAAGCCCAUCACCUUUGUUCGGCAGGUUCUGGCUGCUUGCUCAUAUCCAGCUCUUCUGGAGGACCAAAGUCUGCCUUCAGAUGUCCGGCAGAGAGCUGAAGACCUGCUCAGAGAGUGUGCAGGUGGAAGUGUGGG
rnacentral:lncRNA from 1 species